CCGGGAAUAAACCUCGGUAUGUAUACCGAGUUGAAUGUACUGUAAGAAUAAGGAUCCGGCUAACUCCGUGC
rnacentral:rRNA from 1 species